CCAUUACCUCUCCCACAAGACUGGCUCAUUCUGGUCCAUCUAGGGCUUUUAUAGAGCUAAACAGGAAGUGCUAUGACGUCACUUCCGGUUUUUGCGCAGGGAAAGUUCACUAUAAAAACGCAGCAAACAAAGGGUCCUGUUUUCCUCCCUGACUGAAAACACGGCUACCUUCCUCUGGAGUCUAUUCACAGGUUUACUCUUGUUCCCCAGCAUAACCACUCAAUCAAUAAAUGCUAUUUAAAAACA